rnacentral:rRNA from 1 species
CGGUAAUACGUAGGUGGCAAGCGUUAUCCGGAUUUAUUGGGCGUAAAGAGAGUGCAGGCGGUUUUCUAAGUCUGAUGUGAAAGCCUUCGGCUUAACCGGAGAAGUGCAUCGGAAACUGGAUAACUUGAGUGCAGAAGAGGGUAGUGGAACUCCAUGUGUAGCGGUGGAAUGCGUAGAUAUAUGGAAGAACACCAGUGGCGAAGGCGGCUACCUGGUCUGCAACUGACGCUGAGACUCGAAAGCAUGGGUAGCGAACAGGAUUAGAUACCCUGGUAGUCCAUGCCGUAAACGAUGAGUGCUAGGUGUUGGAGGGUUUCCGCCCUUCAGUGCCGGAGCUAACGCAUUAAGCACUCCGCCUGGGGAGUACGACCGCAAGGUUGAAACUCAAAGGAAUUGACGGGGGCCCGCACAAGCGGUGGAGCAUGUGGUUUAAUUCGAAGCUACGCGAAGAACCUUACCAGGUCUUGACAUCUUGCGCCAACCCUAGAGAUAGGGCGUUUCCUUCGGGAACGCAAUGACAGGUGGUGCAUGGUCGUCGUCAGCUCGUGUCGUGAGAUGUUGGGUUAAGUCCCGCAACGAGCGCAACCCUUGUUACUAGUUGCCAGCAUUAAGUUGGGCACUCUAGUGAGACUGCCGGUGACAAACCGGAGGAAGGUGGGGACGACGUCAGAUCAUCAUGCCCCUUAUGACCUGGGCUACACACGUGCUACAAUGGACGGUACAACGAGUCGCGAACUCGCGAGGGCAAGCAAAUCUCUUAAAACCGUUCUCAGUUCGGACUGCAGGCUGCAACUCGCCUGCACGAAGUCGGAAUCGCUAGUAAUCGCGGAUCAGCAUGCCGCGGUGAAUA